CCCAUAUUAAGAGGUGGAACCAGUCUCCUACAUCCAAAUUAAUAACAUAAUGACCCAAUUCAUUAGGAGGACUGUACCGUGAGCGCAAGGGGGAAUGCCAUACCGGAACAAAUGGUAAAUUGCUGGGUAAAUGCAUUUUAAAAAGUACAGAGGUAGUUUUGACCAACAUAAAUUAUUUUGUUUCACAUAUCCUGCACUCCUAC